rnacentral:rRNA from 1 species
UCAGGACGAACGCUGGCGGCGUGCCUAAUACAUGCAAGUCGAGCGGACAGAUGGGAGCUUGCUCCCUGAUGUUAGCGGCGGACGGGUGAGUAACACGUGGGUAACCUGCCUGUAAGACUGGGAUAACUCCGGGAAACCGGGGCUAAUACCGGAUGSUUGUUUGAACCGCAUGGUUCAGACAUAAAAGGUGGCUUCGGCUACCACUUACAGAUGGACCCGCGGCGCAUUAGCUAGUUGGUGAGGUAACGGCUCACCAAGGCGACGAUGCGUAGCCGACCUGAGAGGGUGAUCGGCCACACUGGGACUGAGACACGGCCCAGACUCCUACGGGAGGCAGCAGUAGGGAAUCUUCCGCAAUGGACGAAAGUCUGACGGAGCAACGCCGCGUGAGUGAUGAAGGUUUUCGGAUCGUAAAGCUCUGUUGUUAGGGAAGAACAAGUGCCGUUCAAAUAGGGCGGCACCUUGACGGUACCUAACCAGAAAGCCACGGCUAACUACGUGCCAGCAGCCGCGGUAAUACGUAGGUGGCAAGCGUUGUCCGGAAUUAUUGGGCGUAAAGGGCUCGCAGGCGGUUUCUUAAGUCUGAUGUGAAAGCCCCCGGCUCAACCGGGGAGGGUCAUUGGAAACUGGGGAACUUGAGUGCAGAAGAGGAGAGUGGAAUUCCACGUGUAGCGGUGAAAUGCGUAGAGAUGUGGAGGAACACCAGUGGCGAAGGCGACUCUCUGGUCUGUAACUGACGCUGAGGAGCGAAAGCGUGGGGAGCGAACAGGAUUAGAUACCCUGGUAGUCCACGCCGUAAACGAUGAGUGCUAAGUGUUAGGGGGUUUCCGCCCCUUAGUGCUGCAGCUAACGCAUUAAGCACUCCGCCUGGGGAGUACGGUCGCAAGACUGAAACUCAAAGGAAUUGACGGGGGCCCGCACAAGCGGUGGAGCAUGUGGUUUAAUUCGAAGCAACGCGAAGAACCUUACCAGGUCUUGACAUCCUCUGACAAUCCUAGAGAUAGGACGUCCCCUUCGGGGGCAGAGUGACAGGUGGUGCAUGGUUGUCGUCAGCUCGUGUCGUGAGAUGUUGGGUUAAGUCCCGCAACGAGCGCAACCCUUGAUCUUAGUUGCCAGCAUUCAGUUGGGCACUCUAAGGUGACUGCCGGUGACAAACCGGAGGAAGGUGGGGAUGACGUCAAAUCAUCAUGCCCCUUAUGACCUGGGCUACACACGUGCUACAAUGGRCAGAACAAAGGGCAGCGAAACCGCGAGGUUAAGCCAAUCCCACAAAUCUGUUCUCAGUUCGGAUCGCAGUCUGCAACUCGACUGCGUGAAGCUGGAA